rnacentral:lncRNA from 1 species
GUAGCUGUUGGGGACUGGGCUGAGGAGUGGAGGGUUCUUAGUUCAGGCCCCAGUGCAGACAAAGCAAGGAAGGUAGCAGGAGAGGGUGGAAGAAGCACCGCCUAGUCAGAACACUGCCGAGGUACCCUUGAGCAAGUUCCACUCCCAUUCCCCCAUCGCCACUACGCUUUGAAGAACAACACAGGACGUCUCCUCUCAGAGUGUUUCAAAUUCCUUGUUUCACAGCAGGCUGCGUCCUCUGCCCUCAACAACGGGGCUUUGUUUGUUUUCCACGAAACCCUCCCGUGACAAGUUCAGGUACAAGUUUCAUUUAUCAACUGAAGCUGGAAACAGGAAUGUCUAUAGAUCAUUCUUUCCUCUGUAUGAUUAAAGUACAACAACAUCCAUUUGUGACAGGUUUAUUCAUGGAUCUACUAAUUUGUCCUGAAGGAAUGUCCCAAUGUGCUGCCAGUCAGAAACUGGUGAGGACGAGUCAUGAUGAAAAUGUUCGCAUGAAAGACUCACGGAAGAGAGGAGCGGCAGCAAGAAGCUAAAAUAUACCAGAAUAAGCCCCUGAAUAUGGCAGCAUUUCCCAAUUGGUCGCAGAAAUUGAGAAAUGACCCAUUUAUAUGUGUAUACAGGUCAUACAUGUACCACUGUAGCUGGUAUCCGGUUGUGAUGCUAACAGGCUGCGUCUUGCAUCACAGACUGAAGGUUUUGUGGGCUUGAAUUGCUAUUUACUUUCUAUUGAAAGGGGCGAUGAGAUGUUCACGUGCAAUGUUCUGAGACAGCGAACUGGGCUUUCCUUAGGGACGCUAAUUACAAGCUAGCAUGUGGCUGCGUCACUGUAUCUUUGUGAGGAGGGCCACCCACAAAAUAUCACCCAUCAUCAUCCAUGCUGAUUACAGUGCUGCGCGUUAUGGCCACUACACACGAGAAAAUAAAAGCCAGCCUGGCAGUGAGAGCGUGUC